rnacentral:misc_RNA from 1 species
UAAGGUGCUUGUCGUUACGUUAGACGUAUGUUUUUCUGUCAAAGUUCUUCAUUUAAAAUCCGGUAACCGUUUCGUGAAGAGGAAUUGUUAACCAAACUGUAGUUUUUUAUUAGAUUAAAUAGUAUUCUAAAUCAAGGAUAUGACUGAUUCCGCAUCAGUUCGCCAGGUGAUCAUCGACUUUAUCUGCCUUGCUAUUGUUUGGGUGCCUGCUCUGAUUUGGUACCUGAUCGGUAAACCUUUUCAGCGAGGAUUCUACUGCGAUGACACUUCCAUCCGAUAUCCAUACAAGGACUCGACCGUUACGGACGCAGAACUUAUAGGUUAUAGUCUCAGCGUGCCUAUCUUACUGAUUAUAAUUGUGGAGAUUUUAAGCUGGAAACGUAACUCAAAAUGGGAAGGGAUCAUCCAACAGAGCAGUUCUUUAACGACUAAUAUUUCAUCUUCUAUCCGCUUCCGGUCCGUGGUGAUCAAAAUUGUCCACAUAGUCGCAAUCUUCCUAUUCGGUGAGGGUUGCUCACAAUUGGCUACGGAUAUCGGGAAAUACUCCGUUGGACGUCUCCGUCCGCAUUUUAUUGACGUCUGCCAACCAGCAAACUUGAACGAGUUGUGUCCGUUGGGUGGGCCACCCAUUUACAUCACCGAUUACACUUGCACGGGCACCGACGAGAAAAAACUUCUAGACUCUAGAUUGUCUUUCCCGUCUGGUCACUCUUCUUUUUCGGCCUACUCGAUGUUGUAUCUGGUGAUAUAUCUCCAGUGCAGGAUGAACUGGUCUGGCUCCAAGUUACUUCGGCCGCUGAUCCAGAUUGCAGCGUUGAUAUUUUCGUGGUACACAGGCCUUUCGCGAAUUACUGACUACAAACACCACUGGAGCGACGUAUUGACGGGAUUCGCCAUCGGCUACACUGCUGCGUCGCUCACGGCCUUGUACAUAGCUAAAUUCUUCAAGGCAAGUUCUUAUGGCACAACACCGUUGCUGCCUCAAAAUAGAAGUGACAUCGAACUUCAAAACCACUCAGAAGCUUCGGCCCAAUGUGACUGUGAGACGAGACCAACUUCUACCUAAUGGUCUAAUUCUGAAUUUUAUGAGAUAACGAUUAAGAUAGAAUUCGAAAAGCGCACUAAAAGAAAAUAACCCAUCGACGACAUAGUAACCAAGUGCAUCACCCCUUCCUUAAAAAAAAUAGAUCAAUUUGUAUAUAUGACUGCAGAUUAUUCAUAAGUUUUCGUUAUCACAAUUUUGUUUUAACCAGAAGUAAUCAAAUUUCAAAUUUUUUGCUAAGGUCCAACUUUCUCUACUAAUAAUGUGGUAAGCUCUUGCAUAAUUAUUCUUAUUUCAAAACAUUUUCUAUUUCCACGUAUGCGAUAAAGGGUCGAGUCUCCAAAACACGAACAGAUUUUAAAAUUCUCCUCAGUCAUCGCUCCUCAUUAAAAGUGAUUAAGUUACAAGACACAUCGUUGUACAAUUAUCCUCCAUCAAAUGGCUACAACAAAACGGCAACCUUGUUGUUACGUCACGAUUAUUGAGGAAAAACAACAACAGUAGUAAUGGCUCGCAAGUCCAAAUCUAAAUUAGUUAUAUACACGUUCGUUCUUCGGCAAACAAUGCCGACAGCUCCCCAGCAGUUAGUCAGCUUCACAUCAAAGUUCACUGUUUGUCUCUUACUUUGACGAAGAGAAAUCGCAAAGCUAGUUUUCGUAAUCAUUUGCUGCUGCUGUAGGAUCAGCUGAUGGUGUGUUGUGAUUGCACUUUGACAAUGACUUCUGCCCCACUCAUUCGUCAAGUGCUCAUCGACGUUAUCUGCCUUAUUUUUGUUUAUUUGCCGGUUAUUCUUUUGCAACUGCUCGGUAAACCUUUUAAAAGAGGAUUCUACUGCGAUGACACUUCCAUUCGUUAUCCUUAUAAGGAUUCGACCGUUACCAGCGCUAUGCUUUACGGUUACAGCUACGG